rnacentral:rRNA from 1 species
AGCGAACGCUGGCGGCAGGCUUAACACAUGCAAGUCGAGCGGGCACUUUCGGGUGUCAGCGGCGGACGGGUGAGUAACGCGUGGGAACGUGCCCUCUGGUUCGGAAUAACUCAGGGAAACUUGAGCUAAUACCGGAUACGCCCUUUUGGGGAAAGGCUUGCUGCCGGAGGAUCGGCCCGCGUCUGAUUAGCUAGUUGGUGAGGUAACGGCUCACCAAGGCGACGAUCAGUAGCUGGUCUGAGAGGAUGAUCAGCCACACUGGGACUGGGACACGGCCCAGACUCCUACGGGAGGCAGCAGUGGGGAAUAUUGGACAAUGGGCGCAAGCCUGAUCCAGCCAUGCCGCGUGAGUGAUGAAGGCCUUAGGGUUGUAAAGCUCUUUUAUCCGGGACGAUAAUGACGGUACCGGAGGAAUAAGCCCCGGCUAACUUCGUG